rnacentral:rRNA from 1 species
AGGGGGUCUUCCGCAAUGGGCGAAAGCCUGACGGAGCAACGCCGCGUGAGCGAAGAAGGCCUUCGGGUCGUAAAGCUCUGUUGUCAGGGAAGAACAAGUACCGGAGUAACUGCCGGUACCUUGACGGUACCUGGCCAGAAAGCCCCGGCUAACUACGUG